GGAAGAUAGAUUUAUGACCUUAGUUAGGGACUUGGCCAUAUACCUAUGGGAAGACACUCAGCAUAAGAAACUACAUCUUUUCUUCUAGCAACUGUGCAUACCGACCGUCGAGAUCAAAACAGGCAGGGAAUUACUGGGUAGGCCUUAGGUGUCCAUGAGAUCCUGGGAUGGCAUGAGGCUCCAGGUAGACACAGGAGACUGCUCAGAACCUAGUUUCAAUCUGGCAUAUUAUUGGACAUCAGUGAGACUCUGACAGAAGAAAAGGUACCGGAUACAUUCUCCUGACAACAUGACACCUCAAUGGUAAUUUAGAGAAUGUACUAGUCCUCUGAAAAUACCUGGGAAAAGCUUUGGACCCUAGAAACAUCAUAGAAAUGGAACAGGUUCCAGUGAGAAACUGGAGCAGGAUUGAGUCCAAGAGAGAACCAAGGAAAACAUUCGAGUCCAAGGAAGUCCUAAGGAAGACUUUAAGCCUUAAUGAGAACCUAAGACAGACUUUAGAUCCGAAGGAAAAUCUCUGGUAAGCUAUAGCCAUGAGUGAGAAGGAGGGGAAUGAUUUCUUCCUCAGUGAGAAUGUGGAAGACUGUUAGAACCAGUUAAAAACCACAGUUUGGAUUUGGUGAGGCCUUAGGUUUCCGUGAAUACCUUUUGAAAGCCUUGGGUCGCAGUAAGAACGCCAAAAGCUCUUCUAUCCCGGGGAGGUAUUGCAGAAGACGUUAAAUGCUGUGUGAUCCUGGGGACCUUCUUAGACUGACAGAGAAUCUAGGCAAAACCUUAGGUUCAACUUUGCAAUAUUGUAGGACACACAUCGAACCCUGUCAAGGCCUGAGACCUUGUGUUUCUCAGGAAGGCCUAACAUGCCAGUGUAAUCUUGCCAGAAGUUCACGACACACUGAGAGUCUCUAAGAACCUUUCUAUUUCACAAAGAACCUAGGGAAAACAGAGGUCUCAAUAACACUUUGAAGAAGGCCUUAACCAUAUGGAGAUCUUUUGGAAUGUUGUACGUCGCAUUUCGAACAUGAAGAAAGCCUUCAUUCCCAUCCCUACAUUCCAUGAGAAAUUGAGGAAUAUAUUGGCCCACUUGAUACCCCGUAUAGGCUCUAGCAAGAUGCUGUGCAAGGAAUUAGGCCACAGAUACGACUUGGAAAGCCACAGGGGUAACCUGGGAACCCUUGUGGGCCUUGCGCCAUAGGCUUCAUUGCGUCUUUGGAGGGAGGUCUUAAAGCAUACGUAGUGUUCCCAUUUAAAUUAUCCAUCCAGUCCUGCUUUUUGUAUUGUGAUUCUAAUUCUGCCCCCAGACAGCAGACCACCAAGUACCCAGGUGAUCUCAUGGGAACCGUCUUCCUAUAUUAACCUGUCAAUAAAUCUAGGGCAUGUGAUUGGAGACUAGAAGGGAAAGGUGAGACUGGAGGUUUGACGGUGAUAGCAUUAGGAGAGAGAGAAGGGCAAAAGAGCGAGGAGAGUGGCCUGUAGAGGAGGAGCUGAGAUUGACCUGAUUGCAUUGGAUUGUAUGUUCUAUAUAUGGUCUCAUUUGCUUUGGAAAUUAGAGCAACAAAAUGGCUCCAAACCUGGGGAUUAGAACCCAAGCAACUUGAGGGAAAAUUCACUCCUCCCCACUAUAGGCAAGUAGGGCUGGGCUGUAAAGUUGCCUCGGGGUGAAAAAUGAUACACCUAGUGGGUCUACAAGUUUCUAUAGAUCUACUGAGAACCUCCCUCCCAUGCCCCAUUCAGACCAUGACAGUAACCCAUCUCUGAGCUCAGAUUUAGCCCCAGUACCAAUGUCACAACAUAGUUGGGGUUCGUUGAGCCUAAAAGGACCAAGGACGCUGGGGUAGGUCUUCCUGUGAAACAUCAGAGCUUAGCAUCAAGAGGUGAAAAAAUGGUAGCCCACUUUGCAAAGGCUUCUCACGGGCACAGGAAGCUGAUCAGG
rnacentral:lncRNA from 1 species